UCGGGUCCACCCUUAAGCUGGACACAGGCAACCAGAGGCUCCUCCCUUGUCUUUGGAAUGUACAUUCUGCCCACCAUUAUCACACUGUUUCAAGGACGUACGCUUGAGAGAGUGUGUUGCUGUUGAGGCUAUUUGGUCUGAAUACGUGACUAUAGCCGGUUAAGGCCUCCGUAUAAACUUAAGAUUCUGACAGCAGGUGCAGAGAUGUACGCGGCUUCUCUUGCAGUUGCUGAAGACAAGUCUUGUAAAAUCCUUCCUUUUCUGAUUCUUUGGCUUGGUUAUUGUCUUUUGGCUCGACACCCACCAAGAGGCGAACCCAGUUUCAGAUAACAGAGCUCUGCAUGUGACAUCUCCUAUCAUACAGGACUUUUGAUGCACAGGAAACUAUAACUAGAGGAGAGAAAGGAAUUCCCACCUCCAUCUCAAACAAAGCCCCACCUCUCAAUGAAAAAUAAAGUCCUAGGAGCAGGAGCAGGACCAGGUAAUGGUUCUAUUCUUGUCUUGAGCUUGAGUCAGUUUCAGUUUAAAACAUUUGGUGCCUCUGUUGCACUCUGGAGAAAAGCAUACAUAUAUUUUGGCUCCAGUCAAAGACCCAUAUGACCCCAAAAGAAGAAAACUAAUAUUUAACUGGUACAUACCACAUGUCAGGCACUGUACUUAGGCAAUUUCUCAGCAUACCACACCAUCUCAUGCUCAAGUCAGAGGAGAUAGUUGCUUAUUUUAGAGUUCUUUAACUAGCAGUGAUCAAAAGUUAAUUCUUCUAGGGAAGCCUGUGUGGUUCAGUCUGUUAAGCUUCCAACUCUUGCUCAGGUCAUGAUCCCAUGGUUCCUGGGAUUGAGCCCCAAGUCGGGCUCUGCCCUGGAUGUAGAGCAGGUGUGGAGCUUGCUUAAGAUUUUCUCUCUCCUCUCCCUCUGCUCUCCCCUUCUCUCUCAAAAACAAAAACAAAACAAAAACAAAAUUAAGAAAAUGCAAUAUAAACAUGUCAUUUAGAAAUGGCUAGGGGCGCUUAGGUGGCUCAGUCGGCUAAGUGAUUGACUCUUGAUUUCAGCUCAGAUCAU